GUCAGAUGAUGAUGGCCUGUGCAGAAACCCCAUGUGGGCUGCCCAGGCUUGAGAACCCUGGC
rfam:Cricetulus griseus cell line CHO-K1, whole genome shotgun sequence.